rnacentral:rRNA from 1 species
UUAGGAAUAUUGCGCAAUGGGGGAAACCCUGACGCAGCAACGCCGCGUGAGUGAUGAAGGUUUUCGGAUCGUAAAGCUCUUUCAGUAAGGAAGAAAAAAUGACGGUACUUACAGAAGAAGCACCGGCUAACUCCGUGCCAGCAGCCGCGGUAAUACGGAGGGUGCAAGCGUUAUUCGGAUUUAUUGGGCGUAAAGCGCGCGUAGGCGGUUUGGAAAGUCUGCUGUGAAAGCCCACGACUCAAUCGUGGAACUGCAGUGGAUACUACCAGACUAGAGUAUUGGAGAGGAGAACGGAAUUCCUGGUGUAGAGGUGAAAUUCGUAGAUAUCAGGAGGAACAACGAAGGCGAAG